UACGUAGGGGGCAAGCGUUGUCCGGAAUCAUUGGGCGUAAAGCGCGCGUAGGCGGCCCGAUAAGUCCGCUGUGAAAGUCAAAGGCUCAACCUUUGAAUGCCGGUGGAUACUGUCGGGCUAGAGUCCGGAAGAGGCGAGUGGAAUUCCUGGUGUAGCGGUGGAAUGCGCAGAUAUCAGGAGGAACACCAAUAGCGAAGGCAGCUCGCUGGGACGGUACUGACGCUAAGGCGCGAAAGCGUGGGGAGCGAACAGG
rnacentral:rRNA from 1 species